GACGAACGCUGGCGGCGUGCUUAACACAUGCAAGUCGAACGGAAAGGCCCUGCUUUUGUGGGGUGCUCGAGUGGCUAACGGGUGAGUAACACGUGAGUAACCUGCCCUUGACUUUGGGAUAACUUCAGGAAACUGGGGCUACUACCGGAUAGGAGCUCCUGCUGCGUGGUGGGGGUUGGAAAGUUUCGGCGGGUGGGGAUGGACUCGCGGCUUAUCAGCUUGUUGGUGGGGUAGUGGCUUACCAAGGCUUUGACGGGUAGCCGGCCUGAGAGGGUGACCGGCCACAUUGGGACUGAGAUACGGCCCAGACUCCUACGGGAGGCAGCAGUGGGGAAUAUUGCACAAUGGGCGGAAGCCUGAUGCAGCAACGCCGCGUGCGGGAUGACGGCCUUCGGGUUGUAAACCGCUUUCGCCUGUGACGAAGCGUGAGUGACGGUAAUGGGUAAAGAAGCACCGGCUAACUACGUG
rnacentral:rRNA from 1 species